GCCUUCCCACCCACCCUCGUUCGAUUCUGUGGGAUCUCUUUAGGCAGCUGAGGAAGACCAGUAGCAGCCUACCCAAAGCCUCCUAGUCAAGAACAGAAGUUUAACUCAAGAUCACAAGGCAGAAAAUUAUCAAAGGAGCUAAACAUAUUUGCAAGGAUUUGAACAAUAUACAACCAGCUGCCUUUUAAAACUGCAAAUAUUUGUAUGCACUGACCACAUGGAGAUAAAACUGAUGAAGAUGUUCUGCACACAGGCUUUGCCACUUUCAUGAAACAAGUUUGCGACAGAGGUGUGACGGUGGAGGAAGCUGGUGGAAUUUAAUGCUGUAUCAGUUUCUUAUGAUGGAGAGCACUCAGGCAUCUGUAGU